AGAGUUUGAUCCUGGCUCAGGGUUAACGCUGGCGGUAUGUUUAAUACAUGCAAGUUGUGCGCAAUUUUUUUAAAAUUGAGCGGCGAACGGGUGAGUAACACGUUGGAACCUGCCCCGGACUCAGGGAUAACCUGCCGAAAGGUUUGGUUAAUACCGGAUAGUCCCGCAAGGGUAAAGCUUUUGCGGUCCGGGAGGGGCCUGCGGCCUAUCAGCUUGUUGGUAAGGUAAAGGCUUACCAAGGCUAUGACGCGUACCUGGUGUGAGAGCACGACCAGGCAGAAUGGGACUGAGACACGGCCCAUACUCCUACGGGAGGCAGCAGUGAGGAAUCUUCCACAAUGGACGAAAGUCUGAUGGAGCCAUACCGCGUGUAGGAUGACACCUUUCGGGGCGUAAACUACUUUUCUGAAGGAAGACAUUCUGACGGUACUUCAGGAAUAAGCGUCGGCUAACUACGUGCCAGCAGCCGCGGUAAUACGUAGGACGCAAGCGUUAUCCGGAAUCACUGGGCGUAAAGCGAUCGAAGGCGGAUCUGUAAGUCCGAUGUUAAAUACCCACGGCUCAACCGGGGUGCUGCAUUGGAAACUGUAGAACUAGAGGAAUGCAAGGGUAACUGGAAUUUUCAUUGUAGGGGUUAAAUCCGUAGAUAAUGAAAGGAACACCAAAAGCGAAGGCAUGUUACUGGGCAUUUCCUGACGCUGCGCGAUCGAAAGCGUGGGGAGCGAAAGGGAUUAGAUACCCCUGUAGUCCACGCCGUAAACGAUGGAUACUCGGCGUUCGGAUUUUAAUCGAUCUGAGUGCCCAAGCUAACGCGUUAAGUAUCCCGCCUGGGAAGUACGGCCGCAAGGCUAAAACUCAAAGGAAUAGACGGGGAUCCACACAAGCGGUGGAGCAUGUGGUUUAAUUCGACAAUAAGCGGGGAACCUUACCAGGACUUGACAUCUUUGGAAUUUUCUAGAAAUAGAAAAGUGCCUUCGGGAACCGAAUGACAGGUGUUGCAUGGUUGUCGUCAGCUCGUGCCUUGAGGUGUUCGGUUAAGUCCGUUAACGAGCGCAACCCUCGCCGUAUGUUAAAUUGUUCAUACGGGACUGCCAGUUUUACACUGGAGGAAGGUGAGGAUGACGUCAAAUCAGCAUGGCCCUUAUGUCCUGGGCGACACACGUGCUACAAUGGCUGGUACAAAGGGCAGCGAAGUCGUAAGGCGGAGCAAAUCCCAUAAAACCAGUCUUAGUUCGGAUUGAGGGCUGCAACUCGCCCUCAUGAAGCUGGAAUCGCUAGUAACCGUAGAUCAGCCAUGCUACGGUGAAUAUGUUCCUGGAUCUUGUACUCACCGCCCGUCAAGUCAUGAAAGACAGGGGCGCCCGAAGUCGCGUUAUCCGCCUCGGUGGAGCGUGCCUAAGGUGAAACUGUUGAUUGGGACUAAGUCGUAACAAGGUAACC
rnacentral:rRNA from 1 species